UCGCUGCUGCGCUGAGGCAUACUCCCUUUUACACCUUGGCUUGCUCGUGACUAUUGUUUUAAAAAAGGUAGUUUUGGGUGUUGCUGCCUACGCGACGGUGAUCCUUUUGUCGCUCGCCUCAUAUAGACAUUUCCCUGCAGGGAGUGAGCGUGUGUGGGUCUGUGUGUGACAGCGAGAGCAACUCAGCCAUGAACUCGAACUCGCUAGGCGCAGGUGCGAACGGGAGCUUUUACUACCCCAAUCGAUCAAAACAGGAUGAGGCGUCCUACGAAGUGUCGAUAGGAGAUGGCUACACGACGGAGAUGGUGACGGAUCCGAACGCUCCCGCGACGGAGCAGACGCAGGCGGAGAACGAAACGGCGGCGACCCUGUCGAACGGGUACGACUACGGCAACUACUAUGACCCAUCAUUGUAUCAGAACUACUACUACCAGGACGACGACGGCAAUUACUAUUACUACACCGACGCGCAGCAGUCCGCAUCAAACGAUAUCGCCCAGGAGAUACAUGUUAGCGUUACGCCGACACCUCAGAAUCUUGUUCGAUCCUACGAGUACGCGUCGUAUGACCCGCCAACGUACAACUGGUUCGUGGAUAUUGUAGUAGACACGUUCUUAUCAACGCCCUUCCGAGUCUACCUCACAAUAUUGCUCUACUGCGCCGCGGCGCUCAUUGGCACUCUUGGGCUGAAUUACACCUUUGCAUUGCUGUACCGUCUGUACGCCCCACCGAUCCCGAACACCAACAAGAGCUUGCAGUCGUUCGCGUACUUUGCUCUCUUCUUCUAUGCCAGUUUUGUGAUAGUCGCGACACUCUGCGCCUUGAUGGACAUGGUGCGCAACCUGUGGACUCUAAAGCGUGGCGACGUUGCUUUUUGGGGGAUGUCGCACCGGUCCUUCUCCAAACGCAUGCCACCCUACCUUGUAUACCUUGUCAUCAUUCUUGUCAUCGUCUUUUUGCCGCUCCUGUGGGGGAUCAUGGAGGCUGGGAUUAGGAAGCAGUCGCUCGUGUACGUGGCGCAGCGCUACGCGAACGUUGCCGUGCUGGCGGCAACGUUCCUGGUUGUCGUCUGCUAUCUGUGGUUCUACUGGAGAGCGCUGGUGUACAAGUGGUCGGCUAUCACGAAGCGAGCCGAGCGCGACGAUUUUGAGCUGCGCCGGCGUGCGUACAAGGCCCACCCAGAUAAGAUGAACAAGAUGCACUGGUAUCAUGCGUCCACAGUACUGGAGGAGUUUGGCAUGGAUGGCGACACACUGCUCUACAACUCCGUUGUCUUCACCGUCGGCUGCGUGCCGCUGUUUUCUCUCUACGCGGCGCAGACGCUGAGCACCUACACCGGCACCCCGUCCGUGGUGUGGCCAGCGAUCGCAUCGAUCUCGAUGGUUUGCGUUUACAUCCUCUCCUGGAUCACGUUGAUGCGACGCAAGAGUCAGUGGGCCACCUACGCGUCGUUGAUGCUCAUUGUGCUGAUGCUUGCCCUAGGCCUCACUGCUGGCGCCGUGGGCGGCCACCCGAUCACGGCAGUCAUCGUGGUUGUUCUCUUUGUUGCGGCACACGGCAUGGUGUCCCGCAAACGCAAGCACUGCUUGACGAAAAAGGAGUUACGGGCAACUCUAAAGUUGCCAUACACCGCGCAGGCAGACGACGACACGCCACAGGAGCGGCGGAUCGACACAUAUCUCUUCUGCUGCCGCAACCUCAUUCUCGACUACAUGAAGUGCUGCGAUGUCAAGAAGCACUUUGGCUACCGCCACCCCGACGUUGUGGAGGCGGAGAGGCGCUUCAUGAUCAGCCGCAUCGCACUCCGCACGGAUCAGAAGGCGCUGCUCAUCUGGUGGGUCAUAGUCAUGCUCGCUGUGGCCUUUGUUAUGGCGCUCUCGAACAGUAUCCAGUAUCGAUUCAGCACACCGAUUGCGGUUUUAGCGAACACGUCCGUGACGGGGCUCACCCCAUCCCUUCCGCUGUGUGAGAAGGUGUUUAAUGCCAAUGGUGCUGCACCGCUGAAGAUGCUAGACUUGGCCUUACUAGCCGCGCUGUCGUACACCUACGGCGCGAACGGCGACGCCGACUUCGCCACGUGGUUCUCCAGCAAGCCUUCCCUGCUACGCAUGCACCCGGUCGUGCUGCCGUACACGCUGAACUUCCACACAGAUGGGACGAACAUUUCCUUCUCCCACUACGUCGACGUAUCUAGCAGAUACCACGUGAUCACGCUGAACUCGAACAGCAGGGGCCUGUCCCUCUUCCGGGACUUGGACGACUGGGGUGAGUCCAUUGCCCUUCAGGCUGCCGGCGCCAUCUCCCCUCUCAUCAACAUCUGGGACGAAGAGAACCGCGCGGCAUUUGUGCAGAGGGCCCGCUUUCUCAAGACGUGGCUCCCGCCUUCCACUGCGUUGGAUGGCGUGAAAACGUACAUAGCAGCACUGAACAGAUCCGGCGACUCCACCGGCAUUUUGAUCGUCGGAGACCAGUUCAACGGCGGCUAUGCGAAGAGGCUGUCUGCCGAGCUGAAUUUGCCCUUUGUCGCCUUCAACCCACCGGGCACCAAGUACAUCGACAUGUUCUUGACAAACGGAACGCAACUGAGCGGUGUGCGGAGUCUGUGGUCAUACGUGGACUCGCUGGAGGAUGCGGUCAACACAGCGUACUACCCGUGCAAGGCCAAUCUCUCCUCCAACCGCUGCGGUCGCAUCAGCACUGUUGUCAAAUAUUUGUUGGAGACCUGUGGUGACCCCGCGGGCCGUGCGAUGAAUCAAGUCUAGGUUUCCUCGGAUUCCAGACACGUGCGUGGGUGUCGCCGUCUUCGCCUCUCGCUGGCACACGUAGCUGAUAUGGGCGCGCACUUGCACGUUCACUGCUGCCGUCACCUUUUCCCCGCUUCUUUCUACUCCCUUUUUUCACGACCAUUGGACUCUCAUCUACCCCUCUGCUUGCCGUGCCGAUAGCCUUCCUCACGUAGACAAGGAUCCCCUCGGUCAUCACUGCCUACAGUGGCUAUUGGUGUGAUGAUGUGUGCGUGCCUGUUCCCUCUUUGCCUUCACUUUCACCCCCUCUUGCUAUAUCUUGCUGGCCUCUUUUUUUUUGUCGUAUAUAUAUUCUUGCUCUUCGAUUCACUUUUAUGCAUGCCCUCUUGCUGUAUCUUGCCAUGCGGGAUUUAUUUGGGAGAGAGGCGCAGCGAGACUUUGGUGGCACUUAGAGUUUGUACAAAAUCUUCUUUAAGACACGAAAGAAGACGCACGCACCAGCUCUCUCCGAUGAACUCGACACUCAGGGCGUACCUGUACUGAGUGGAGCACCGCUCUCAAGAAGGUCAUUACGCCCUUUUUUGGUUCGCUUCUAUUGCGAUGGGGCUAA
rnacentral:misc_RNA from 1 species